GUUGGUAAAAUACUCUUUAUUAUUAUUUUAAACAAACAUCAGUUACUUAUGAGUUUAUUGUUGUCAGGUCUGCUGUGGCAGAUGAGUGGAGGCUGAGAAUUAGGACCCAAGAUGCAGGCAGCUGAGAUGCAAAUGAGUUUUAUUCAUAAAGUGGUGAAACAAACAGAAACAGCAAAGGCAAGGACGGAAACUAAGCAAACCUAAACUUAGUGAUGGGUCCAGCAACACUGACGCACCGACGCUUGUAUCAAGCUCACCUAGCGAUGCCUGUAUCGGUGCGUGCGUCGCUUUAAGAAAAAGUCACGUGAUCGAUACAGCUGCUGUAUCGCUCAUUGCCAACGCGCCAAACUGUGUUUAAAAGGUACCGCAUCCGUGUCUGCCAACGGAAUGAGUCGCCACCAAAAAACACAAAAUUACUCUCGCAAAGAUUAAAAAAAAACAAAAACAUAUCUCUCCAAAAACAAAAUGGAGCCCGAAAGAAAAAGAAAUGUUUCUGCUGUGCGGGAUCAUUUUGAUCUUUUCAGUGCAAAUAAGGUAACUGUUUGUCUGUCUUUGUUUCAGUGUAAUCUAUCAGAACAGGAAAAACAGCAAUGUGACUUGAAGUGUAAAUUAUUUAUUUCAUUUUAUGCAGGUUAAAUGUCGCAUCUGCUCUGCGUUUCUUACACAAACAAAAGCACCUCCUCAGUGUUUGGGCAUUACAGAGCCAAACAUGAAAAUGAGGAGACAAACACACCCAGAAUGAACACUGCAAGACUGUUCUGGACCAGGCAGUCCUGAAUUUUAUUAUAAAGGACUGCCAACCCCUCAGUAUUGUGGAGAGUGUCGGAGAGAAACAUUCCAAGAUCAGAGGAUCCUUUAACGUACUGGGGGAACAGGAAGACAUCUUAUCUGAACCUUUUCCACCUGGCUUUACAGUUUUUAUGUACCCCAGCUUCAUCUGUGCCUGUCGAUCCAGUCUGAGAGUCACAGUCCGGGCUCCUCCACAAAUCAUGGAGUCAACCAGAAUGAAACUCAUGUGUACGACUCUCUUCAACAUGGUACUGAUGACGUCUAUGAAUCAGUCACACAAGUGAAAAACAGAAAUGGUUCAGAUGAAUAUGAUGACGUCACCUCAUCUCUUAUUGAGUUUAAAGAUCUUAGAACUAAGAAUACAGAGUCUGUCUGCGCCUUCUAAACAAAUCCUAUAAGGUGGGACAGGCAUGAGGGGCAGCCAGUGACCCCUCACACACGUCCUUAUGCUGAUAUCCAGGCAGGUUCUCAGUGUUUGUAGCUGCUGAUUUAUGCAGCAAGCAUUUCCACAGUCCUCUGCAGCAGAUUAUAGAAACACUUCUUUUCUCAGCUCACGACAGAAGAUCUACAGCUGGGACACUGUUAAGUGGUUCUAUGUGAAAAAUAGUUAAAUAUUAACUCAAACAUGUUCUUGUAUGUAAAACAGGUUCAAAUGCAUGAAAUUAUAUUUGUCCUUUAUAGUGGACAUUAAAAAACACCACAUGUAUGAACGAUAGUUUACAUCUUAGAGCCCUGCUCUCAAAAACUGACUCAGAUGUAACUGUCUGUGAAACCAGAUUUAAGAAAUAAGAACUUAAAGUUCACAAAACAUGUCAAACAGACUCUCCUUCAUGAAGUCCUCGUUGAUAAAGUGCUUCACAGACCUGAACAUUACAGCUAACAGCUGGAUUUUCCUGUGUCAGUGCAGCUGGCCAAAAAAUGCAGAACCACUUACUGCUAAAGAGACAGACGGUGAAAGCAGACAGUAUAUCCUCCGUUUUAAUAUAAAAGUCAUUGUUGCAGCUGAGAGCAGCACAACAGUGACCCCAUUAAACUGAUGUUUAGUUUUAGUGUCCUUAUUUUCACUGAGUUAUUGGUUCUGCUAUUAGUUACUUUACAUAAACUGAUGUGAGUCUUUUGACUGAAACGAACCAACUGACCUGGUGAUGUGAUGCUCUGUACUAACAGAAGAUGGCGCUGAACAUGUUUUUAUAACUUUAAGCACUUAUUUCUUAAAUCCAGCUUCACAGUCAGAGUUACAUCUGUGUCAGUUUUUGAGAGCUGGGCUCCAUGAUGUACAUUAGCAUUGAUACAUGUAGUGUUUCAUGUCCCCUUUAAUGCUGAACACCUGAUGUGACAUUUCCACACAAUAACUCUGCUCAGUAACUGAUUGUUUUACAUGUUUUCCAUCUUCCAGUUUUUGUGAUUUGGUUCAUGUAAACAUUUCUGAUGGUUUUAUUUUCAUCAAAAUAUUUUAAUUUGCACUUAAGUUUGAACUCUUAGAGAUUACACUCACUUUGUUUUCACAGACUUGUGACCAUGACACAAAACUACAGAGAGAAGUGGAUAAAAUCUCAUUGUUACUGGUUUUAGAAAUGCUUUACAAUAAUAAAAAAUACAUCAUUUAGAGUCAAAAUAUCAUAAAUGGUAACAAAUAUAACUGUUGUCUUCUGGUUACUCACAGUCCAAAUCAUCAUCUGCAUCAAUGAAUGUCAGUGAGGCGUCCUGAAAGUCGUCACGUCUCCUGUUCAGUUACCGUCUCUGAGAAUCACUCUGCUCUCCAAUCAAAUCACUUUCUUCUGUUUAUCCUCUGAGUUGCUCUUUGAUGGUUAUGAAUCGUUGCUCUUCUUUAAACUGUGAAGUCGUUCCUGUACUUGGGAGACAUUUCUCUUUUGUUCUGGUAUCAAAUUGCUUCGUGUUUGCUGAACGUAACCGUCUUUCUGUUCACCUGUCAAACUGUUGCUCAUGUUUCCAGAGCAGCUUUUCUUCUGCUCAGACUUAAAAAAUGUUCAAUAAGUUUUGUUUUGUCGAUUUGCCAAAUUGUUGCUCAGUUAUUGAGAAUACCUUUUUUUCUGUUCUGUAGACAUUAAUUUGCUCUUGUUUAGUUGUCAAGUUGCUGCACAGUUGGUUUGAGUCGAAGUUAAUCUCAGUUGACAGGUUGCUUUGCAGUUUUGAAAAAAAAAAUUCUCCUCUGAUAAGUUGUCAAACUGUCUUUCAGAAUAAUUUAUUCUCAGUUUUCUGUUUAGACUUUUUCUCAGACGUCUGAUUUUCGCCUCUUCUGUUCAGUCACUCAUCUUCUGCUCAGACUGUCUGUGUGUGUGUGUGUGUGUGCGUGUGUGUGUGCGUGUGCGUGCGUGUGCGUGUGUGUGUGUAUGUAGGUGCAUGUGUGUGUUUCCAGCUAUACCAUACAUAGACAUGCGAUCUUUCAAUGAACUUAAACCGUGUGUAUGAGGUUUGCAGAAAAGCAGAAAUAAGCACCUUGCUAAACUAUAAAAACAGGAACUUGUAAGAGGUCAUGUCUCAAACAAACAUUUAAAGGUGUGAAGUCUUGCACUUAUAAAGAAACAGAACCUGGUGCUUUCCUAAUGUAUAACAUAGCUCAUCUCUGGACUAAGCUGCACUCUAAAUAAAGCACAUUUUGUCAGCACAGACACAGAUAAAGGAAAUAGUAGAAGGUUGAAAAUAAAUCCUCUGACUGUCUGGCUUUUUCUUCAUAAUGAAGCCAUAUUAGGACACAUAAAGGC
ensembl:lncRNA